rnacentral:misc_RNA from 1 species
GGGACAACGAAAAGGGACCUGAUGUAGACCCUGUUGAGGAGGUUGUAUUGAAUGAUACCACUGAUGAAGAAACCCCAACUGCAGUCGAGGCAUGAAUCCUUUGAUAAAAAGCUUAUCUGACUUGCCUAAUGGAACUGCUGGAUUUCCUGUCCAUAUCAGUAUGUAACCAGCAUCCUCGGAUUAUCAUCAUUUGUAAGAAAACCUGCUCUUGCACCGUUGCACGUGUCCUACCCGUGGCUCUGUAAGUUGUCUCAACGUCAAUUUUGAUCGCGUGGUCUGUGGAAUUAUUGGAUUAGAUGAAGGUAAGGCCAAUGCUGUGACUUUGGUUCAAUUUUUU